AUUGAACGCUGGCGGCAGGCCUAACACAUGCAAGUCGAACGAGUGGCGGACGGGUGAGUAAUGUCUGGGAAACUGCCCGAUGGAGGGGGAUAACUACUGGAAACGGUAGCUAAUACCGCAUACCAUCAGAUGUGCCCAGAUGGGAUUGGCUAUAAGGUGGGGUAACGGCUCACCUAGGCGAAGAUCCCUAGCUGGUCUGAGAGGAUGACCAACCACACUGGGACUGAGACACGGUCCAGACUCCUACGGGAGGCAGCAGUGGGGAAUAUUUGACAAUGGGCGCAAGCCUGAUGCAGCCAUGCCGCGUGUAUGAAGAAGGCCUUCGGGUUGGAAAGUACUUUCAGCGGGGAGGCGUUACCCGCAGAAGAAGCACCGGCUAACUCCGUGCCAGCAGCCGCGGUAAUAC
rnacentral:rRNA from 1 species